GGAUCAAUAUUUCGGUCAUGCCGUUGGUAUGCACUGUUAUCAUUGAUUUCUCACCUUCUAAAGAACCGUAAUGCCAUUAAUUUGGUGUUACGGGGAAGUUAGGACUGUUACCUUUGAAAAUUAAGAGUGUUUAAAGUACAGGCUCACGCUUGAAUACAUUAGCAUGGAAUAAUGAAAUAAGGACAUCCGAUUCUAUUUUGUUUGGUUUCUUAGGAUCGAUGUAAUGAUUAAUAGGGAGUAGUUGGG
rnacentral:rRNA from 1 species